GACGAACGCUGGCGGCGUGCUUAACACAUGCAAGUCGAACGGAAAGGCCCUGCUUUUGUGGGGUGCUCGAGUGGCGAACGGGUGAGUAACACGUGAGUAACCUGCCCUUGACUUUGGGAUAACUUCAGGAAACUGGGGCUAAUACCGGAUAGGAGCUCCUGCUGCAUGGUGGGGGUUGGAAAGUUUCGGCGGUUGGGGAUGGACUGGCGGCUUAUCAGCUUGUUGGUGGGGUAGUGGCUUACCAAGGUUUUGACGGGUAGCCGGCCUGAGAGGGUGACCGGCCACAUUGGGACUGAGAGACGGCCCAGACUCCUACGGGAGGCAGCAGUGGGGAAUAUUGCACAAUGGGCGGAAGCCUGAUGCAGCAACGCCGCGUGCGGGAUGACGGCCUUCGGGUUGUAAACCGCUUUCGCCUGUGACGAAGCGUGAGUGACGGUAAUGGGUAAAGAAGCACCGGCUAACUACGUG
rnacentral:rRNA from 1 species